ACUUUACUCCAAACUUCUUUCGGACUUCUAUAGUAACUAGACUCCAUCCAAGUUUCUACGAUGAUCGACUGCCUAUCGGAUUUCAUCCGAACUCCUACAAGGUCUGGGCUCCGUCCAAACUUCUAUGACGGAUGGAUUCCAGAUGAAUUCCUACAAAAACUGGAUCUCUACCCUGAACUUCUAUUACAGGUGGACUUCAUUCAAACUCC
rnacentral:lncRNA from 1 species